rnacentral:rRNA from 1 species
GACGAACGCUGGCGGCGUGCUUAACACAUGCAAGUCGAGCGGUAAGGCCUCUUCGGGGGUACACGAGCGGUGAACGGGUGCGUAACACGUGGGUGACCUUCACUCAGCUCUGGGAUAAGCCUGGGUAACUGGGUCCAAUACCGGUUAUGACCUUUACUCGCAUGGGGUUUGGUGGAAAGUUUUUUCGGCUGGGGCUGGCCCUGCAGCCUGUCAGCUUGGUGGUGGUGCGAUGGCCUACUAAGACGACGACCGGUAGCCGGCCUGAGAGGGCGACCGGCCACACUGGGACUGAGACACGGCUCGGGCUCCUACGGGAAGGAGCAGUGGGGUAUAGUGCGAAAUGGGCGGGAGCCUGACGCAGCGACGCCGCGUGGAGGUUGGCGACCUUCGGGUUAUAUACCUCUUUCGACCCCGACGAAUUUUGACGGUAGGGAAAGAAGAAGCACCGGCCAACUACGUG